AGCGAUAUGGUGUAACGGUCGCACACUAGCCUCAUGAGCUAUUAGUUUAAGUUCAAAUCUUAAUGUCGCUA
rnacentral:tRNA from 1 species